ACACAAUAUUCACUUUGUAAAUUUAACAAAUACAAUCAGAUGGGAAAGAGAUAUAUAAAUCUGGAGUUCAUAUACCAGCUUUUAUUCUUUGUGCCACUAAUUUGAUCUAAAUUGUCACUAUUUUGUCAUCAGAGCAUGGGCCUGUUAUUUGGGUGGCAUGCACUCAUUAGAUGACCAUUCGCCUAUCCAGCCAUCGUCUUUUAGCUCCCGCCCUGCCCUGCGGCCAGCCCUGUGCCAAGCAGGCACGGGGACCAGAGGGGUGGAAACCUGCUUCUCGGUGUGGAAGAGCUGCCAGCCUGGUGGAGGACCGUCGGGGACACAAACAGCCUCCAGGCUAAGGCUACUCGAAGGACUUCCUGCCAUGUGGUUGCUCCAAGUGAGAAACAGUUGGAUACCAGGCUACAGUGCAGCAGGUGUCCUGGGAUUGGAAAUCUUACCACUGCAAAUGGCAGCUUGAGUGUGUGUGCACAUGCACACGUGCGUGCACACAUUGGCUGUGUCUCAACCUGACCUGCAGAACGACAGGCUGGCAAUGACGCAGUUCUAGCAAUGAUGUGCUGAUUACACCUACCAGCAGAACUGUGGCUUCAGAGCCAGAUGAAGAAACAGAGGCACAGAGAGGAGAAACAACUUGCUAAAGACAACACAGCAGACCUGGGAUUUGAACCCAGGUAGCUGUUCGGGCUGUGGAGUAUAUAUUCCCAAUCCCACUGCUAUAGAAGCCGUUUCCUAACUGAAGAGAAGAUGGAUGGACAGUUGGACGUCAGGCAAAGGUGAGAAGGGAUCCAUCAUCUACCAAGUGUCUCCUAUGCAACAGGCCCUGUAGUGAGUGGGCUCUUCGCCUUUCACACCAUGUACAACCCUCACAACAAGUGUGCAGGGCUAGUCAUGUCUCUAGUUUGCACACGAGGAAACUGGACUCAGAAGGUUAACAUGAUUUGGAAGAGUCCCUCACCGCAGAGCUGAAAUUUGAAGCAAAAGUCUCUCCCACCAGCACCCAAGGUCUUUCCAGUCCUGCAGUGUGCCCCUCGGGGGCCACAGGGGGCACGGGGCGUGGCGUGGGGCAGCUCUCUGGUUGUGGAACCAGGGCCCCAGCAGCCAGCCCCCCACCGCACCCACCGCGGAUUGGCAGCCUUCUUGUGAACUUUGCUCAUUACAGGUUUUCAUUUUCAGUGAUGCUCCUGACAGCUUUUGUGGGAUGAUUGCAGGGUGGAAGACUGCAACCUUUAAAGGUUUGGUAAAAACUCUGCAAGUGGGAGGUCUGUCGUCUUUCCGGGGCGUGUUGUCAGCUGCAGCUUAGAGAUGUUUCUUUACAAACCCUGGUGCCUGAGCUCUGGGGCGGGGACAGCCUGAACUCCGGCAAAGGCCCAAAGGCCGGGAUGCAGGAGGAGGGGGAAACCAGGAGAGAGGGGGCAGUGAGAUGACAGGCUGGGGCUCCAGGGUCGGCAGGGGCCUCCAAGGAAAGCCUGUGCCCGGGCCCUCGGAGCAGCUCUGAGGCCACAACAGGGGUCCCUGCACAGCACUCGGGCCUGGAGAGAAGCCGGCAGUCUGGCAGGACCUGUCUCCUUUUGUGCCCCUGGAAAUCGAAUUGCCAGUCCUGACUUGCCUUUGGCUCUUUGCCUCAGUUUCCCUCUUCUCUAUUCUUGAGCCUGUAGGGUCAUAUUGAAGCUGAAGCUUGCCAGCCCAACUCCUUCCAAUCCUGCAGGGUGCCCCUCAGGGCUGUGGAGGGCCCGAGGGGGCUGCGGCAUGGGGCAGCUCACUGGUGGACCGGAGCCCCAGGAGCCAGCCCCCCACCACAUGCACCACAGCCUUCUUGUGAACCUUGCUCCUUGCAGGUUUUCAUCCCUUACUUCUGCGCACCUUGGUGGAGGCAAGCCCUGGGGAAUGCAGAGGCAUAGCAGGUGCUGCUUCUAGCUUAAGAUCCUCGUAGCCCAAGGGGACAUCUGCAGAUGCAGGUGGCUCCAGGCAUAGGAGAGGAGCUGAAGAGAUCAGUGAGAUUCCAAGCAACUGGAGUAGGUAGGGUGGAUGGGGACCAGUGGGGAGAAAAGUGGCGUAGAAAUCAUACGGGGCUGAAUGCCAUUCAGAAAAGUUCUGACAUUUCCUGUGACUCAACAUUUUCUUAUAUGUGGUCUCAGGAACACUCAUAUCAGAAUCAGCUUGCAGCACUCAUAGAAAUGCAGAUUCUGGUUCCCACUCCCUGAACCAAAGGGGAUCUCAGAAGAUGCCCAGGAAUGAGCAUUUUUUAAAGUGCUUGAAUAAACAGUAUGCAUUCCUGUAGACAAAGUUUUUAGCUGCAGUGAGGCGAUUAGCUCUGACUUUUAGGCAUAUCCCUCUGGAAGGGCAAAGGAUGGCAUGAGAGAAGUCUGUUGUUAAACAAGUCUCCCAUGCACCAAAGGUGGGGCAGAGGCCAAUUGCUCGGCAGAGAGGGAGCUUCUCUACCGGGCUUUCCACACCAAAGGCCAUUUUGAAUGUCCUAGAAGACCAGCACCUAUGCAGCUUCAGCACAAGUGAGCUUUGUGGGUGGUAAGCCAAGCAGCCAGGGCUGCUGCGGUACACAAUUCCAGCCUGGCAAUCGUGUAGCCUGGAAUGUGGCUAGUGCCCCAGCAAUGGUGCAGUGCCUUGGCCCUGCAAGUAGGCAAUCCUGAAAUGAAUGUGACAGAGAAAACCCAAAGGAAGCAGAGCUUGAAAGCAGCUGGUGGGGUCCCACAUCUUUGUCCCACUAGAGGGAAAGCUGGCACAGCAUCUGGGACUCUGCCACAGAAGUUAUCUGCAGGCAACCCUUCUUUUGUAGUUGUAUCUACAUGUUGCAAGUGUUAAAAAAAAAAUGUGGGGUUCAGAAGAGUUUAAAAAAGAAAAAAAAAUUUUCCCCUCACCUUUCAUUUUUACCCUCCAGAGGUAACCACUGUUAAUAAUGUUCGGUGUAUUCAUCCAGAAAAAUACUAUAUAAGCAUAAAAGAAGUCUUCUGAACACCAAUCAGCUCAUACUCUACAUGCAGUACUUGAACUUGUGCCUGUUUGUUCGUUUAAAAUAUAUCCUGGAUAGUGUAUCAUAUGAGCUUACAGAGCUAGGUCUCAUUCUUUUUCAUGGCUACAUAGACCUCCAUGGCAUAGAUGCAACUUCAUUUUAUUUUAUUAUUUUAUUUUAUUCUUAAGAGUUCAGCUUUUUAUUGAACAAGUUACAGAAGAGGCUUAGUCAAAAAGACCAAAGCAUGAGUCACCAUCAGACUCCUGAUUCUUCUUUCUUUGCUUCCAUUUUCUCCUCCUGGGCUGGCGCCGCAGUGGGGGAAGGAGCGCCGGGCCUUCUGUGGGGCAGCACCUGCUACUGGGGCAGGUCCCCGAGCCCCAUCUUGCAGAGCUGCAAGAUGAGGCUCCCAAUGUGGAGGCCCUGGCAAACAAGCCCUGCCAGAAAGGUUCAACAUUCACACCUGCUGCCUGAAGGAGGACAUUGAUCUUAUCCUCCGUGGGGGCUGAGGGCCAAGUAGAUGCAGGCGAGCUCUGAGACAGAGGCUCUCCUGUGGCCGGGGGAGCAGGUGGGCAAGUGCUGAGCAGGCACUGCCUCGCAGGACCCUAGUCCCCAGAUGAAGUGAGGGCCUCACUCUAACCCAGUCUUAGCUUUCUCAGAAGGAUCCAGGAUCUCAGCGGCAUCUGAGGAAAAGGGGUCACCUUCAUUUUAUUUAUAACCAGCCCCUGUGAACAGAUCUUCAGUUUCCAAUUUUUGCCUUUAAAGACAUGACUGUCCUCUUCUUUACACCCCAUGCUGGCUUUCUCUCUUAUGAGCUCCCCCUCCGGUCUAUGUGGGCUGUGCCACGAGGCCACUUCUUUGUAUCAGAGCCACAGUGAUCCACUGCAGAAUGAAUUACUAAUUGCACAACGUUUUGUUUUUCUCCAACUACAGUUGCUCUAAGUUCCAUUUAAGGAGGGAGUCUUUAGCAGCAAGUUUACAAAGCUGCUUUGGGGCCAUCACUCUGGUCGAAAGAUGCCUCUUUGUUACAUACUUCCCAGGAAUCAGGGCUCUUUGGGACCCGGACUAUUCAGCUCCCUCCCUAAGCUGCCCCCAGGUCCUCCAAAUCUGUCCCCUUCUGCAGCAGAAGAUGUUAAGAUGCAGUAGAAAUUGCUCAGACUUUGAAGUCAUUCUAAAGCAGGAUCAAAUCUUGGCUUUGCCUUCAUGAGCGCCAGAGAGUGAAUCACUCACUCCUCCGAGCCUCUAUUUCCUGACCUAUAAAAUGGGAUAAAUAUAGCUCCUAAUUACAAGGUUGAAGGGUCAUAGAACAUUUCUAUCUUUAUAUAUACACGAAAGGCUUACCGGAGUGCCGGGUGUCCGCAGCAGGUGUGCUGCCCACUUUGCGCCUUUGCGGUCAUUGUCGGUGCAAGCCAAGAUUUUGGGAGGCAAGGUUGAAGAGUUGAAAACAGAUUCUCCCCACCCCCACCGGGACCCAGCAGGUGUCAUCUCUGCUGCUGCCAAAUCCAUUCUUUCUGACCUUUAGGAACUCAUUCAACUGCAAAUGUUUAUUGGCCUCCUCCUUGGGAGGGUGGCAAAGCAUAUUGCUUAGCCGUUUAGCAUCCAAAUGGGAACUGUCACACACUGCUGGUGGGAAUGUAAAGUAUGCAACCACUUUGGAAAGCAGUCUGGCAGUUUCUUAUAAAACUCAGCAUAAAUCUACCCUUUGACCCAUUCUAAGUUGUAAAGCAAAGCAGGGAAAGCCUAUGUCCACAGAGAGACUAGCACAUCAGUAUUCGGAGCAUCUCUAUUCAAAAUAGCUGAAAGUGGGGGAGGGUUUGGGGAAUGGCCCAGGUGUCCAUAAACAAGAGAAUGAAUAAACAAACUGGUAUAGUCACUCAGUGGGAUACUACUCAGCAAUAGAAAGGAAUAAGCUACUCAUACAUGCAACUACAUGGGCAAAUCUGGAAGACAAUAGGCCAAGCAAAAGGAGUCAGCCACAAAAGGGAAACAUACUAUGUAAUUUCAUGGAUAUAAAGCUCUGGAAAAGGGACAUACCUAUAAUGGAGGAAAGAACCGUGAUUUUCUGGGAGCAAGUGAGGUGGGUAUUGCGUGGGAAGGCACAGGAGGGAACUUUCUGGAGUGAUGGAAAUGUUCUAAAUCUCCAUGAGGUUUGGGUAACACAGGUGUAUACGUUUGUUGAAUUUCAUUGAAUGCUACUAUUAAGAUUUGUGCAUUUCUCUCUGUAAUGUUAUCAACAAAACGUCAAUAAAUGUUGAACUCCAGGUAACGAUAUUCAUGCUGAAGAGUUUAGGGGUGAAGUAUACGGAUUUCUCCAACUUUCUUUGAAAUGCAUCAAAAAUGAGGUGGAUUGAUGGCUACGUAGGUGAAUAGACAUAUGGUAGAAUAAAUGUGGGAGAAUGCUAACAAUUGCAGAAUCUAGGGGGUAGGCACACAGGUGUUCACUGUAAACUUCCUUCGAAUUUUCAGUGUGUAUGAAGUUUUUCCUAACAUGAUGAUGAGAGGAAGCAUCCAGAACCUUAGUACCUGGGUUUGAACCUUAGCUCCACCCUUUCUUAGCUCUGCCACCUUAGACAAGUUCCUCAAUCUCUCCAUGCUGUGAAUUUCAUCAUCUGAAAAUGGAGAUGAAGUGUGGGUUUAUUCUGAAGAUUACAUGUGUUUUCACGUGGGAAGCGCUUGGAACAAUUGGUGGCACACAGCACUUAGUGUUUUCUUUGGCCCGUCAAUACACUGAGAUGUUAAUAGUGUGUCUCUGUCUUCAAAGACUAUAUCUAUAUAAUCCCCACCAACAUGCACCCUGAAAGGCAGCCUAGCAGACGCAUAUUAUUGAACCUUGGAGUCUAGAGUCCCAGGAGUCUCGGAUCAGUAGUUAUUCUCUUUGAACCCCAAUUUCCUCAUCUCUAAAUUGGGAAUAAUUCACAUUGCUUUGGGCUUUAAAGAUGAUUAAAUAAAGCAGCUAAAUGAAAGCGACUGAAGCAGGGUUCAAUAAUAAAUGCUCAUUGAAUGUGUACUUCCCAAACUAACCUCUCCUCUCUGCUGACAUAAUUGGAAGGGAUUGAUUGAGUCGUGGCCUAAUGCAGUACCCCUGCAUGCACACUCUUGGCAGGAUCUCAGUUGUAGGGCCCUGCAGCCUCUGCCAGGUGGAGGUGGUGGUAGGAGGAGCUGUGAGAGUAGGGAACAUCUUGCCCCAAGCACUUGGGGCAACUCCUUACCAGCCCUUCUCAGGGAUAUCACCUCAGCCUUCAGAGGCCUGCUGGCAGUCUAUUCAGCCCUGAAUCUGGAGUCAGCCGAGUCUGAUUCUGGAAUAGUCCUCUCGUUAUUUCAGACCUAUGUAGGACACCAAUUAUGUGGCAUCUCCAACCCCGGGCCUGGCAGGCCACUGUGUGGGGACAUGCUCUGGUAAGCCAAUAGACCAGAAGAGGCUGUUCACAAUGUCAACAGCUGAUUAUCCAGUGUAAUUUUAUUAUAAAAUGAUCAAAGGGAACAGAUUUUGACUUACAGUUAAAAGACCUGUCUUGGCAAAAAGUUAGAAUCACGGGUGAGACCAUCUACUAAAAUUUCAUGGAAACAAACAGUGAUUUAAACAAAAAGUUUAAACUGAUUUAGCAGGGCUUUCUAAAUCUAUUAUUUCAUGAUUUUUAAAAACUUUUCUAAUGGGUACUUUGACUUCCUAUUAAAAUGCCCUCUCUAUCUCACUGCCUGCCACUCCCCCAAAAAAGAAAAUCCCUCCAUGGUCAACUUCAUUGGCUUUUAGGGAAGCAAUUUUUCAUCCUCAGUCUUAAAAUCCAUUUGGAUUUCGAGAGGAUUUAAAUGCAUGUGUUGCUGAUACUCUUAUUUUUUACAAAGAUGCUAUUUUGUAAGAGAAAUUUGCAGAACCCCCUAGAGUCUCUUUAGAGAUCUUUUUAAAAUGCUUUGACGCUGUAGGAGUUGAAGGGCUGCUCGGAGCUCUGUGUGUGUUUUUUACCUUCCUCUUGGCAACACUUAAAUGGAAUUUAAAUCCCAAA